GCUAAGCUAACGACAGCAGCCGUCCACCAUUAUCAAUUUGAGUGAAGAAACGCGAACUGAUAGACUACGAAGCACCGUUGCAACAAAGACUGGAGCAGGACGUUUCACAGUGGUUUGGGGGUAAUGAACCAGGUUCCAGUUCAUCCUACAUGUUUGAUACACCAUCCAGGCAAGGAGCCUGACUGUUUGAAUACACUCCACAGAACAUCCGCAACAUUUACAGGCAUCCCUUCCAUCCUGUGUUGUACUCCAGGUAUGCCAGGAAUUCCUGAUCUGGCUGGUCACUGCAUUGGCCUCCAGCUACCCCUUGGCUGAAGUGAGAGACAUGUAAGGCAACCACUUCCUCCUUUAAGGGUCUCUCAUACUGGGAUGCCAAGCCCUUUGGAAUGGGGAUUUUGGGGAAGACGAGCCUCAUCAGGUCAUCUACAGUCUGUAAAAUAUUGCAUUUAAAUAUUGAUUUUCUUGUGUUUUUAAAUUAAGUGCUUCCCUGAAUCCACCUUUCUUGUAUAUAUUUCAA